rnacentral:rRNA from 1 species
GACGAGAAGCGGGCUUCGGCCCGUUAGUAGAGUGGCAGACGGGUGAGUGACACGUGGGUAACCUGUCCGGAGGCGGGGGAUAACUCUUCGAAAGGAGGGCUAAUACCGCAUAACACUCGCCGGGUUUCGGCCUGGCGAAUCAAAGCUUGCCUCUACAUGUAAGCAAGCACCACCGGAGGGGCCCGCGGCCCAUUAGCUUGUUGGUGAGGUAAAGGCUCACCAAGGCGACGAUGGGUAGCCGGCCUGAGAGGGCGAUCGGCCACACUGGAACUGAGACACGGUCCAGACUCCUACGGGAGGCAGCAGUGAGGAAUUUUGCGCAAUGGGGGAAACCCUGACGCAGCGACGCCGCGUGGAGGACGAAGGCCUUCGGGUCGUAAACUCCUGUCAAGUGGGACGAAUCCGGAGAGAUGAAUAAGCUCUUCGGUUGACGGUACCAUUGGAGGAAGCCCCGGCUAACUCCGUGCCAGCAGCCGCGGUAAUACGGAGGGGGCUAGCGUUGUUCGGAAUUAUUGGGCGUAAAGGGCGCGUAGGCGGCCUGGUAAGUCGGACGUGAAAUCCCGCGGCUCAACCGCGGAACUGCGUUCGAAACUGUCAGGCUUGAGUCCCGGAGAGGGUAGCGGAAUUCCCAGUGUAGCGGUGAAAUGCGUAUAUAUUGGGAGGAACACCAGUGGCGAAGGCGGCUACCUGGACGGGUACUGACGCUGAGGCGCGAAAGCAUGGGGAGCAAACAGGAUUAGAUACCCUGGUAGUCCAUGCUGUAAACGAUGAAGCACUUGGUGUUGCGGGUAUCGCCCCCUGCAGUGCCGAAGCUAACGCAUUAAGUGCCCCGCCUGGGGAGUACGGUCGCAAGGCUGAAACUCAAAGGAAUUGACGGGGGCCCGCACAAGCGGUGGAGCAUGUGGUUUAAUUCGACGCAACGCGAAGAACCUUACCUGGGUUUGAACCGCAGAUGACCGUCCUGGAAACAGGGCUUUCGCAAGGGAAGCCGGCACAGGUGCUGCAUGGCUGUCGUCAGCUCGUGUCGUGAGAUGUUGGGUUAAGUCCCGCAACGAGCGCAACCCUUGCCCUUAGUUGCCAUCGGGUUAUGCCGGGAACUCUAGGGAGACUGCCCCGGAAAACGGGGAGGAAGGUGGGGAUGACGUCAAGUCCUCAUGGCCUUUAUGCCCAGGGCUACACACGUGCUACAAUGGGCGGUACAAAGGGUCGCGAUACCGCGAGGUGGAGCUAAUCCCAAAAAGCCGUCCUCAGUUCGGAUUGGAGUCUGCAACUCGACUCCAUGAAGGUGGAAUCGCUAGUAAUCGUGGAUCAGCAUGCCACGGUGAAUACGUUCCCGGGCCUUGUACACACCGCCCGUCACAUCACGAAAGUCGGUUGCACUUGAAAUCGCUGGGCUAACCCGCAAGGGAGGCAGGCGCUUAUGGUGUGAUUGAUAAUUGGG